UACGUAGGGGGCAAGCGUUGUCCGGAAUCAUUGGGCGUAAAGAGCGUGUAGGCGGCUCGGUAAGUCCGCUGUGAAAGUCCAGGGCUCAACCCUGGAAAGCCGGUGGAAACUGUCGAGCUUGAGUCCGGAAGAGGCGAGUGGAAUUCCUGGUGUAGCGGUGAAAUGCGCAGAUAUCAGGAGGAACACCGGUGGCGAAGGCGGGUCUCUGGGCCGAAAUUGACGCUGAGGAGCGAAAGCGUGGGGAGCAAACAGG
rnacentral:rRNA from 1 species